AGAGAUAAUCAUGGAGUAUAAAAUUAUUAAAGAUAAGUUUUAUAAAAAUUUUUAAUAAUAACUAUUAAUAGAAUUAGGUUACAAAUAAAUUAAUAAUAAUUAAUUUUAAAACCUAAAGGGAAACCUUAAUAUUAAUAAUAUAUAUUAUUUAUAUUAUUAAUAUGAUAAUAACUAAGUGAACUGAAACAUCUAAGUAACUUAAGGAGAAUAAAUCAACAGAGAUAUUAUGAGUAUUGGUGAGAGAAAAUAAUAAAGGUCUAAUAAGUAUUAUGUAAUAAAUAUGUAAGAAAAUAGGAUAACAAAUUCUAAGACUAAAUACUAUUAAUAAGUAUAAAAAGUACCGUAAGGGAAAGUAUGAAAAUGAUUAUUUUAUAAGCAAUCAUGAAUAUAAUUUUUAUAUUAAUGAUGUACCUUUUGUAUAAUGGGUCAGCAAGUAAUUAAUAUUAGUAAAACAAUAAAGUUAUAAAAAAAUAGAAAAAAAUAUAUAUAUAUAUAAAAAUAUAUUAAAAUAUUUAAUUAAUAUUAAUUGACCCGAAAGCAAACGAUCUAACUAUGAUAAGAUGGGUAAACGAUCGAACAGGUUGAUGUUGCAAUAUCAUCUGAUUAAUUGUGGUUAGUAGUGAAAGACAAAUCUGGUUUGCAGAUAGCUGGUUUUCUAUGAAAUAUAUGUAAGUAUAGCCUUUAUAAAUAAUAAUUAUUAUAUAAUAUUAUAUUUAUAUUAUAUAAAGAAUGGUACAGCAAUUAAUAUAUAUUAGGGAACUAUAAAAGUUUUAUUAAUAAUAUUAAAUCUCGAAAUAUUUAAUUAUAUAUAAUAAAGAGUCAGAUUAUGUGCGAUAAGGUAAAUAAUCUAAAGGGAAACAGCCCAGAUUAAGAUAUAAAGUUCCUAAUAAAUAAUAAGUGAAAUAAAUAUUAAAAUAUUAUAAUAUAAUCAGUUAAUGGGUUUGACAAUAACCAUUUUUUAAUGAACAUGUAACAAUGCACUGAUUUAUAAAAUAAAAUAAUAUUUAAAAUCAAAUAUAUAUAUAUAUAUAUAUUUGUUAAUAGAUAAUAUACGGAUCUUAAUAAUAAGAAUUAUUUAAUUCCUAAAAUGGAAUAUCAUAUUUAUUAAUAAUAAUAAAAAAUAUGAAUACUGAAUAUCUAAAUAUUAUUAUUAAUAAAAAGUAAUAAUAAUAAUAUGGUAAUAGAACAUUUAAUGAUAAUAUAUAUUAGUUAUUAAUUAAUAUAUGUAUUAAUUAAAUAGAGAAUGCUGACAUGAGUAACGAAAAAAAGGUAUAAACCUUUUCACCUAAAACAUAAGGUUUAACUAUAAAAGUACGGCCCCUAAUUAAAUAAUAAGAAUAUAAAUAUAUUUAAGAUGGGAUAAUCUAUAUUAAUAAAAAUUAUCUUAAAAUAUAUAUAUAUAUAUAUAAAAAUAUAUUAAUAUAUAAUAAAUAUAUAUAUAUAUAUAAUUAUAUUAUAUUUAAUAUAAACUAAUAAAGAUCAGGAAAAAUAUUAAUGUAUACCGUAAUGUAGACCGACUCAGGUAUGUAAGUAGAGAAUAUGAAGGUGAAUUAGAUAAUUAAAGGGAAGGAACUCGGCAAAGAUAGCUCAUAAGUUAGUCAAUAAAGAGUAAUAAGAACAAAGUUGUACAACUGUUUACUAAAAACACCGCACUUUGCAGAAACGAUAAGUUUAAGUAUAAGGUGUGAACUCUGCUCCAUGCUUAAUAUAUAAAUUAAAUUAUUUAACGAUAAUUUAAUUAAAUUUAGGUAAAUAGCAGCCUUAUUAUGAGGGUUAUAAUGUAGCGAAAUUCCUUGGCCUAUAAUUGAGGUCCCGCAUGAAUGACGUAAUGAUACAACAACUGUCUCCCCUUUAAGCUAAGUGAAAUUGAAAUCGUAGUGAAGAUGCUAUGUACCUUCAGCAAGACGGAAAGACCCUAUGCAGCUUUACUGUAAUUAGAUAGAUCGAAUUAUCGUUUAUUAUAUUCAGCAUAUUAAGUAAUCCUAUAUUUUAUAGGUAAUCGUUUAGAUAUUAAUGAGAUACUUAUUAUAAUAUAAUGAUAAUUCUAAUCUUAUAAAUAAAAAAAAUUAAUAAUAAUAAUUAUUAUUAUUAUUAAUAAUACUUAAUAGAUAUAUUAUUCUUAAGUAAUAUAUAAUAUAUUAUUAUAUAUAUAUAUAAGAGACAAUCUCUAAUUGGUAGUUUUGAUGGGGCGUCAUUAUCAGCAAAAGUAUCUGAAUAAGUCCAUAAAUAGAUAUAUAAAAUUAUUGAAUAAAAAUAAUAUAUAUUAUAUAUAUUAAUUAUAAAUUGAAAUAUAUUUAUAUUUAAUUCUAUAACCAAUAAUUUGGUAAUUAGAAUCCUUUUUUAAGGAGUGAAUAUAUUUUAGUAAUAGAUAAAAAUAUGUACAGUAAAAUUGUAAGGAAAACAAUAAUAACUUUCUAUUAAAAAAAAUAUUAUAUUUAUGAUUUAUAAAUAUGGAAAGAAUUAUAUUAAUAUAAUGGUAUAACUGUGCGAUAAUUGUAACACAAACGAGUGAAACAAGUACGUAAGUAUGGCAUAAUGAACAAAUAACACUGAUUGUAAAGGUUAUUGAUAACGAAUAAAAGUUACGCUAGGGAUAAAUUACCCACUUGUCCCAUUAUAUUGAAAAAUAUAAUUAUUUAAUUAAUUUAUUAAUUAAAGUAAAGUAAAUUGGGUGAAUUGCUUAAAUAUCCAUUAUAAAUAAAUUAUAUGGACAAUAAGCAGCGAAGCUUAUAACAACUUUUAUAUAUAUAUAUAUAUAGUUAUAAGAACGUUCAACGACUAGAUGAUGAGUAAAGUUAACAAUAAUUCAUCCAUGAGUGCCCAAUAUCUUAUAAAUAAGAAUAUAUAUAAUAAUAUAUAUAUUAUAAAAAUUAUAUAAUAUUAAUUUAUAUUUAUUUUUAUAUUUAUUAUAAGAUAAUGAUAUAGUCUAAACAAUUUGGUAACAGAUUGUUAAAUAUGUAAUAUAUUUAAAUAAUAAUAAUAAUUGAACAGGGUAAUAUAACGAAAGAGUAGAUAUUGUAAGUUAUGUUUGCCACCUCGAUGUCGACUCAACAUUUCCUCUUGGUUGUAAAAGCUAAGAAGGGUUUGACUGUUCGUCAAUUAAAAUGUUACGUGAGUUGGGUUAAAUACGAUGUGAAUCAGUAUGGUUCCUAUCUGCUGAAGGAAAUAUUAUCAAAUUAAAUCUCAUUAUUAGUACGCAAGGACCAUAAUGAAUCAACCUAUGGUGUAUCUAUUGAUAAUUAUAUAAUAUAUUAAUAAUAAUUUUAUAAUUAAUAUAUUAUCUAUAUUAGUUUAUAUUUUUAUAUAUUAAUUAUCAUAGUAGAUAAGCUAAGUUGAUAAUAAAUAAAUAUUGAAUACAUAUUAAAUAUGAAGUUGUUUUAAUAAGAUAAUUAAUCUGAUAAUUUUAUACUAAAAUUUAAUAAUUAAUAGGUUUUAUAUAUUAUUUAUAUAUAUAUAUAAUUAUAUUAAAUAUAUAUAUAAUAUUAAUAAAAUAC
rnacentral:rRNA from 1 species